AGGGAAACCUGAACAUCCUUAACCUACUUCUGAAAGGGAGGCAUGAAAAUUAUAGAAGUGGGAAUAAUCAGAGGGACACAUGCUGUCUUUGAAUGACAGACGCUAGAAGUUCCUUAGCUCAGGCUAGGACAACGUAACAGACUGCUCGAGGGAAGCCCAGCAAUUGUUCGUGUUUACUCAUGCCUCUGUCUCCUGUGCUCCCAUCCUGAGUGCUGAAGUUGGGAUGAUUCGGAGUUGAAAAACGGAAGGGGGAAGAUGAACCAGCCACAGUGUCCACUUAGAAACCACAGCCAAAUCUUGGCAACUUAUCCAUGGCAGAGACUUCAGAAAAGACUAUUUCAAAAUUUGAGGUUGCAGCACUGAAGUUGUCUGGGCUUCCUUGUGGCAGGGACAGCAAGGAAGAUGGCCAAGCCUUGCUUCAGCAUUGGAGGCUGAUGAACAGAAGAGAAAUUUGGUUACCAUGCUUUAGGGGAGUGCAGAGGUCUGUGGUCUCAUGAUGACCUUGGAAAUCCUGGAUUUUGAGGAUGUAGACGUGGAUCUGCACCUAUAUGGUACAAUAAUGUUUCACAUUCGAGGCUGAAACUAUCGGAGAGCCUGAACCUCACUAUUCAAGAGUUUCUUGGCUAUUCGUGAAGGUAAAAUGCAAGAAUAUGGGUAAAGACAAUGGAAUCAUUUCUGUGAACAAAUGCCAUAACAUUUCAUAAAGAUUUGAAGUUGCAUAACCAUUUUAGUGACUGAAGCCCUGAGACUCAUCCAAUAAUACUGUGGUUUGAUAAUUACAUAGUUGUGGGUUUAUGAUGCUCUUGAAUUGGGGAGCUGUCUUGGCACAUACAGGUCAGCCAUUUCUGUACAUUUUUAUUUUAUAUUUAUGAAAUGUUUGCACCUACUUAGGAAGUAACAUUUCUCAAUAUAAAAUAUGUAAGAGAAGUUUUAAAGUCAAGCUGUGUUCCUAUGCUGACAUGUUAAUUUUCCUCACCUCUUGAACAGCAUAGGAUUCCAUUUGUCACAUAGUACAUGACUGCUGGAGAGGUGCCCUUAAAGCAGCGCUCUCAACCUAUGGGUCAUGACUAUCAGAAAACAUAGAUAUUUACAUUACAAUUCAGAACAGUAGCAAAAUUACAGUUAUGAAGUAGCAAUGAAAUAAUUUUAUGUUUGGAGGCCAUUACAACAUGAGAAGUUGUAUUAAAGGGUCCCAGCAUUAGGAGGGUUGAGAGCCACUGUCUUAAGGACAUCUUCAAAUUUCCUUUCCUUAAUAUUGACUGAGAAACUUAUGUUUGUAAAAUGAAAAACUACACCAAGACAUUCAAGUUACAGUGGCUUAUUUAUAUGUUUCAUUAAAGCAAGGCAGUUGGGUCUAUAUUCAGAGUGGGGUCUGUUUGGCUGAUUGAUUCAUCUGAUUGACAGCCAAUUUGAAUCUUACAGUUAAUUUUUGCCUCCUGAAACCUGUCAUCUAUUUCUCUGACCUGCACAGAGCAUUCAGAGGUGGAGUGUUUUGAUUCUGUCUUGUUUCAUUUUGGGGGG
rnacentral:lncRNA from 1 species